GCCGGGAGUGGUGGUGCGCUCCUGUAAUCCAACUACUUGGAGGCUAGGUACAGAGGAUGUUUUAAGGACGAGGGUUUUGAAAUUGAAUUUCCCUUGCUGAGAUUAAAUCUUUAACUUGGAUGCUUUGGGGGAGCCCGAGGUAGCCAGGUUGAGAGUUUAAUCUUCGGAAUGGGAGUUCAAUUUCAAUUUGUCCAAAACAAAGAACAGACCUGUACCAAA
rnacentral:SRP_RNA from 2 species